GCCCAGCCUCAGGGUUUGUUGAGAGAGGGAAGACCCAGAGGGCAAGGGUAAAGAUUGACCCAGAGACUCAGAGGGUAACAGAGCUGUCCUGGGCUCAGGGAGCUGCAGCAAGUGCCACUUCAGAGGGCUCCAUGUGCGAGGAACUGAGAGUGGUCUCCAGUUGACAGACAGUGUUGGCCCUCAGUCUAACAAUCUGCAAAGAAGUGAAUUCCACUAGCAACCACAUCAGUGAGCUUGGAAGUGGAUUCUUCCACAGUCGAGCCUCAGAUGAGAGCCCAGCCUUGACCAACACCUUGACUGCAGCCUUGAAAGCGACCCUGAAGCAGAGAACCCAGCUAAGCUGUGCUCUGAUUCCUGACUCUCAGAAUAUAUGAGAUAAUAAAUGCAUGUUGCUUAAAAGUGCUGAGUUUGUGCUAAUUUGUUACAGGACAACAGGAAAUAAAUACACUUGCUGUCACUUACGUGUGAACAAAAGGAGGUGAGCUCUUUCUGCUGUAAGCAGGGGCAUAUAACAAACAGAUGUGCACCAACCUCAGCACAAACCUCAGGACCGCCUCAUCUUACUGGCCUUACCUGUACAUUUCCCACCAUGCCAACUUCUCUCUCACUCCCUGUACCUAUAUUUUCUCUGCUUAGAAUGAGUAUCUGUCCCCUUUUCUUGGCCUGUGAAGUCCCUUUUAUCCAUCCUGGACUGCCUGAAAUGACACUCCCUCCAAGAAGCCCUCUGAGAUUGACCCUUCCUAUGGGAUCUCAUAGCUCACUAAGUAUCCCUCCACCCUGAACCAGCUACAGGAUCUUGUGGCUCCCUGCCCUGAGGUCUCACUCACCACUCAAUGCCCCACACCUCAUUGUAUUCAUCAUUUUAUACCCAGGGCCUAUUAAGUAUACGAUGCAAUAACUAUGCACUGAAUGUGUGAAUAGUUCAGCCUCACAUACCUCCUCUACCAGGAACAUCACAGCCUGCAAGGGAGCUGUGUGACCAUCCUGAGGGGAAGGCAAGGCCUUGCUGUCACCAUGGUGGCCUGCUUUAAGAGUCUU
rnacentral:lncRNA from 10 species